rnacentral:SRP_RNA from 1 species
GUUACAUGACUGUAGUCCUAGCUACUCGGGAAGCUGAGGUAGGAGGAGCACUUAUGUCCAGAAGUUCUGGCUGUAGUGCACUGUGCUGAUUGGGUGUCUGCACUAAGUUAGGCAUCGAUACAGUGACCUCCCAGGAGUAGGGGACCACCAGUUGCCUAAGGAGAAAUGAACUGGCCAAGGUUAGAAACUCCUGUGCUCAUCAAGAGUAGGAUUGUACCUGUGAAUAGCCAGUGCACUCCCACCUGGGAGACACAGUGAGACCCUGUAUCU